GCGGGGUGGAGCAGCCCGGUAGCUCGUCAGGCUCAUAACCUGAAGGUCACAGGUUCAAAUCCUGUCCCCGCACCA
rnacentral:tRNA from 1 species